CUUGACGAUGGGCGGAAGACUUCAGGUCUGUCGCCUUUGUAGAAACCCCGAGGAUGGCAACCUUCAACCUGGAGAUCCCUGAAGCCUUGACCAGGGAGGUUUACAGUGAAGCGUUCCUAUUAGCGACUACAGCAAUCUAACCUCAGUUCCUCCUGCUGCAGUUUCGGUCCCUUUCUCCUCCUCCUCCAGCAACCACGCCCUCCAUGAAUCAGCUUCUUGCACCAGCAGAUGAGCCCUUUAAAGGGAUUGCAUCAGGGAUAACGCUUGGGGGAUCACUGUGAGGACUCGGAGUUAUAGAAACAGCUUUUUGCAAGACGCAGCGAGCACUCAUACUCAUCUCAGUUGAAGGGCUUCAAUGAGGUGGGUGACCAAAAGACAGGCAUAAAGAAGGCCCCAGCCCAGCAAGCUCCACUCUCUGACAAAACAAAAAGCCUAGGGAUUCCGGAAGCCCUGACUCUGACAAAAAUGAGUUCUGGGUUUUCCAGAGCUCUAAUUAUCAGCUAGAUGAAUCACUCUGCGCUGACACCACCAUUCCUACCCCCAGGAGACUCUCAGCUGAUUGAAAAUAUAGGAUUUUAACAAAGGAGAGGAGGAGGAACAGAAAGCUAGGAGGAGAAGAAGUAAUGAAUAGAAACCAAAGGUGCCAGCCAGAGGAAAUGAGAAACUGUCAUCAGGACACUAGCAUGAGGAGAACGCUGGGACACACACACACACACACUCACACUCACACUCACGCUGACAUACUCUUGCUGGCUCUCCAACUCUAGGCUUACGGCAGACGGUGCUGCCAUAACAAAGUGACGCCUGUCACAACAGCAUGAGAUGGUGGCUUGACAAGGUAUAGGCAGAUCUGCCUAUCACAGAAGGAGGGAAAGAGACCUUCAACCUCCAGGGGCUUCCUCAGGCUUCUGAACCCUCGUCUCCAUUACUGGUUGGCUCUGGCUUCUCUUUGUCACCAAAUCGCAAGGCCUAAAUCUGGCAAAUUUUGAGUGUCAGACCUACACCCUGUGGCUAGGUACCACCACUGUGGUGAACAAAGUCACCUCUUAUACUCUGUCAUCAGUAUGAUGCCAAGAGUGCUGGGAAACAGAAUAGCACAGCAGUUAAGAUCAUCGAGUUGGAGUCGCACAGACCUAAGUUCAAAUCCCCAUUCUGUUGUUCACCUUGAGCAGGCCACAUAAAUUCCUUGAGCCGGUUUGCUCAAAUGUAAAAUGGUGCUAUUAAUAUAUGGGGUUUUUAUAAUGAUAUAAUAAGAUUACUUUCAGGGCUGGGCGCAGUGGCUCACUCCUGUAAUCCCAGCACUUUGGGAGGCCGAGGUGGGUGGAUUGUCUGAGGUCAGGAGUUCGAGACCAGCCUGGCUAACAUGGCAAAACCCCGUCUCUACUGAAAAUACAAAAAUUAGCUGGACGUGGUGGCUGGUGCCUGUAAUCCCAGCUACUUGAGAGGCUGAGCGGGGGGAAUCACUUGAACCUGGGAGGCGGAGGUCACAGUGAGCCA
rnacentral:lncRNA from 1 species